AGACGCUGGCGGCGUGCCUACCGAUUAAGUCGAACGGAAAGGGCCCGCUUUUGUAAGGGUGCUCGAGUGGCGACGGUGAGUAACACGUGAGUAACCUGCCCUUGACUUUGGGAUAACUUCAGGAAACUGGGGCUAAUACCGGAUAAGAGCUCCUGCUGCAUGGUGGGGGUUGGAAAGUUUCGGCGGUUGGGGAUGGACUCGCGGCUUAUCAGCUUGUUGGUGGGGUAGUGGCUUACCAAUGCUUUGACGGGUAGCCGGCCUGAGAGGGUGACCGGCCACAUUGGGACUGAGAUACUGCCCAGACUCCUACGGGAGGCAGCAGUGGGGAAUAUUGCACCAUGGGCGGAAGCCUGAUGCAGCAACGCCGCGUGCGGGAUGACGGGCUUCGGGUUGUAAACCGAUUUCGCCUGUGACGAAGCGUGAGUGACGGUAAUGGGUACAGAAGCACCGGCUAAAUACGUGGCCAGAAGACCGCGGUGAUACGUAAGGGUGAGAGCGUUGCUCGGAUUUAUUGGGCGUAACAAGGGCUCCUAAGUGGUUGAUCCGCUUCGACGUGUAAUCUUGUGGCUUACCCUGAGCGUUCUAUCAAUCGGGUUUGCCUUAGGAAGGACGGGACAUUGCAUCCUGAUGGACGGUGUAUGGCCGAUAUCAGAAGAACACCAGGGAAAAGGCGGUCCCUGGGCCUUACUGA
rnacentral:rRNA from 1 species